UACGGGGGGAGCAAGCGUUGUUCGGAAUUACUGGGCGUAAAGGGCGCGUAGGCGGUCUGCUAAGUUGGAUGUGAAAACUCUGGGCUUAACCCAGAGCCUGCAUUCAAAACUGACAGGCUAGAGUUCUGGAGGGGGAAGCGGAAUUCCUGGUGUAGCGGUGAAAUGCGUAGAUAUCGUAAGGAAGACCAGUGGCGAAGGCGAGUCUCUGGACAGUUCCUGACGCUGAGGCACGAAGGCCCAGGGGAGCAAACGGG
rnacentral:rRNA from 1 species